rnacentral:rRNA from 1 species
CAGUGAGGAAUAUUGGUCAAUGGGCGCGAGCCUGAACCAGCCAAGUCGCGUGAGGGACGACGGUCCUACGGAUUGUAAACCUCUUUAGGCGGGGAGUAAUGUGCUCUACGAGUAGAGUAGUGAGAGUACCCGCAGAAUAAGCAUCGGCUAACUCCGUGCCAGCAGCCGCGGUAAUACGGAGGAUGCGAGCGUUAUCCGGAUUUAUUGGGUUUAAAGGGUGCGCAGGCUGUGCAUCAAGUCAGCGGUAAAAUCUCGGGGCUCAACCCCGUUUAGCCGUUGAAACUGGUGUGCUGGAGUGUGCGCGAGGAAGGCGGAAUGCGCGGUGUAGCGGUGAAAUGCAUAGAUAUUGCGCAGAACUCCGAUUGCGAAGGCAGCCUUCCAGUGCAUGACUGACGCUGAGGCACGAAAGCGUGGGUAUCGAACAGGAUUAGAUACCCUGGUAGUCCACGCAGUAAACGAUGAAUACUAUCUUUCCGUCGCGAUUGAGCGGGGGGAGGACAAGCGAAAGCGUUAAGUAUUCCACCUGGGGAGUACGCCGGCAACGGUGAAACUCAAAGGAAUUGACGGGGGCCCGCACAAG